GACGAACGCUGGCGGCGUGGAUUAGGCAUGCAAGUCGAACGGUAUCAUCCUUUCGGGGGUGAGAGAGUGGCGAACUGGUGAGUAACACGUAGGUUAUCUACCCUCAAGACGGGGACAACCCAGGGAAACUUGGGCUAAUACCGGAUGUGAGCAACUUUUAGUUGUUUGAAAGGUGGCGUAAGCUGUCGCUUGGGGAUGAGCCUGCGUCCUAUUAGUUAGUUGGUGAGGUAACGGCUCACCUAGGCAAUGAUAGGUAGGCGGCCUUAACGGGUGGUCGCCCACACUGGGAUUGAGAUACGGCCCAGACUCCUACGGGAGGCAGCAGUCGAGAAUAGUCUACAAUGGUCGGAAGACUGAUAGUGCGACGCCGCGUGAACGAUGAAUCCCUUCGGGGUGUAAAGUUCUUUUAUAUGUGAGCAGUGCUUCUUAUAUUAACAGUAUGGGGAAGAGAUAUUAGCAUAUGAAUAAGCAACGGCUAACUCCGCGCCAGCAGCCGGGUAAAACG
rnacentral:rRNA from 1 species